UUAUCAUAAAUCACCUCCCACUUUAGAGCAAUUCAAAUGAGGUACAGCCCAUUUGAUAUAGGAUACAACCUUAACUAACGGGUAACAUUAAAUCUACACCUCCAAGUAGGCCUAAGAGCAGCCACCCUUUAAAAAAGCGUCAAAGCUUAAUCAUGUUCACAUCAAUUUUUAAUCUUCAAUUGACCCCUUUUACCUUACUGAGAAUUUCUAUAUCAUAUAGAAUAUUUUAUGCUAAAACUAGUAACAAGAGUAAACCCUCUCCCAAUGCAAACACAAGCCAGCAAGAACCCAUCACUGGCAAUUAACAGACUUAAACAAAAGUAGCAACAUCUCUAGAAAACCCUACUCAUCCCAACUGUUAACCUUAUACCAGAGCAUUUCAGGAAAGAUUAAAAGAAAAAGAAGGAACUCGGCAAACACUAAUCCCGCCUGUUUACCAAAAACAUCGCCUCUUGCCCCCAUAAGAGGUCAAGCCUGCCCAGUGACUUUGUUCAACGGCCGCGGUAUCCUAACCGUGCAAAGGUAGCGUAAUCACUUGUUUUCUAAAUAAAGACCAGUAUGAAAGGCAUCACGAGGAUUAAACUGUCUCCUUUUUCCAAUCAGUGAAACUAAUCUCCCCGUGAAGAAGCGGGGAUUAUCCUAUA
rnacentral:rRNA from 1 species